AUUGAACGCUGGCGGCAUGCUUUACACAUGCAAGUCGAACGGUAACAGGCCGCAAGGUGCUGACGAGUGGCGAACGGGUGAGUAAUGCAUCGGAACGUGCCCAGUCGUGGGGGAUAACUACUCGAAAGAGUAGCUAAUACCGCAUACGAUCUAUGGAUGAAAGCGGGGGACCGUAAGGCCUCGCGCGAUUGGAGCGGCCGAUGUCAGAUUAGGUAGUUGGUGGGGGAAAGGCUCACCAAGCCAACGAUCUGUAGCUGGUCUGAGAGGACGACCAGCCACGCUGGGACUGAGACACGGCCCAGACUCCUACGGGAGGCAGCAGUGGGGAAUUUUGGACAAUGGGCGCAAGCCUGAUCCAGCAAUGCCGCGUGCAGGAAGAAGGCCUUCGGGUUGUAAACUGCUUUUGUACGGAACGAAACGGCUCUGGUUAAUACCCGGGGCUAAUGACGGUACCGUAAGAAUAAGCACCGGCUAACUACGUG
rnacentral:rRNA from 1 species